AUUGAACGCUGGCGGCAGGCCUAACACAUGCAAGUCGAACGAGUGGCGGACGGGUGAGUAAUGUCUGGGAAACUGCAUGAUGGAGGGGGAUAACGACGGGAAACGGUAGCUAAUACUGCAUACCAUCAGAUGUGACCAGAUGGGAUUAGCUAGUUGGUGGGGUAACGGCUCACCAAGGGGACGAUCCCUAGAUGGUCUGAGAGGAUUACCAGCCACACUGGAACUGAGACACGGCCCAGACUCCUACGGGAUGCAGCAGUGGGGAAUAUUGCCCAAUGGGCGCAAGCCUGAGCGAGCCAUGCCGCGUGAAUGAAGAAGGCCGUCGGUUUGUAAAUUACUUUCAGCGUGGAAGCUUUACCCUCAGAAGAAUCCCCGGCUAACUCCGUGCCAGCAGCCGCGGUAAUUC
rnacentral:rRNA from 1 species